rnacentral:lncRNA from 1 species
GUAUGCCUAUUACCUACAAAUAUAUAUUUUUUUGAGAGAUAGGUAGCAUGCUACCCGCUUCGUUUAUUUCUUUUAGAAAUAAACUUAGCUAGAAAUGUGAAUCAACUAGGAUUCGAACUUAUGACCUCAAGUACCAACCAUCAAGCCCUUUGCCACUUGCUGCGUCAGGGAUGGUCGAUAUAAAAUAUUAGUUAGAGUGUUUUUUAACUUAUAGGAUGCAUCUUAAAUAU